AUUGAACGCUGGCGGCAGGCUUAACACAUGCAAGUCGAGCGGGGUGAUGGUGCUUGCACUAUCACUUAGCGGCGGACGGGUGAGUAAUGCUUAGGAAUCUGCCUAUUAGUGGGGGACAACAUCUCGAAAGGGAUGCUAAUACCGCAUACGUCCUACGGGAGAAAGCAGGGGAUCACUUGUGACCUUGCGCUAAUAGAUGAGCCUAAGUCGGAUUAGCUAGUUGGUGGGGUAAAGGCCUACCAAGGCGACGAUCUGUAGCGGGUCUGAGAGGAUGAUCCGCCACACUGGGACUGAGACACGGCCCAGACUCCUACGGGAGGCAGCAGUGGGGAAUAUUGGACAAUGGGGGGAACCCUGAUCCAGCCAUGCCGCGUGUGUGAAGAAGGCCUUAUGGUUGUAAAGCACUUUAAGCGAGGAGGAGGCUCUUUUGGUUAAUACCCAAGAUGAGUGGACGUUACUCGCAGAAUAAGCACCGGCUAACUACGUGCCAGCCGCCGCCGCAG
rnacentral:rRNA from 1 species